UACAGAGGUCUCAAGCGUUGUUCGGAUUCAUUGGGCUUAAAGGGUGCGUAGGCGGAAUAGUAAGUCAGUGGUGAAAUCCUGUCGCUUAACGACAGAACUGCCAUUGAUACUGCUAAUCUUGAGUACAUUUGAAGUGGGCGGAAUGUGUAGUGUAGUGGUGAAAUACUUAGAUAUUACACAGAACACCGAUUGCGAAGGCAGCUCACUAAACUGUAACUGACGCUGAGGCACGAAAGCGUGGGGAUCAAACAGG
rnacentral:rRNA from 1 species